AUUGAACGCUGGCGGCAUGCCUAACACAUGCAAGUCGAGCGAGCGGCGGACGGGUGAGUAAUGUAUGGGGACUGCCCGAUCGAGGGGGAUAACUACUAGAAACGGUGGCUAAUACCGCAUACUAUCGGAUAACCCAUAUGGGAUUAGCUAGUAGGUGGGGUAAAGGCUCACCAAGGCGACGAUCGCUAGCUGGUCUGAGAGGAUGAUCGGCCACACUGGGACUGAGACACGGCCCAGACUCCUACGGAGGCAGCAGUGGGAAAUAUUGGGCAAUGGGCGAAAGCCUGAUGCAGCCAGGCCGCGUGUAUGAAGAAGGCCUUAGGGUUGUAAAGUACUGUUAGCGGAGAGGCGUUAUCCGCAGAAGAAGCACCGGCUAACUCCGUGCCAGCAGCCGCGGUAAUUC
rnacentral:rRNA from 1 species